GUAGAUAUAGUUUAAAUAAAACAAUGAUUUGUGGAAUCAUAAAUUCAUUCAAUGAUUUCUACC
rnacentral:tRNA from 1 species